UACGUAGGGUGCAAGCGUUGUCCGGAAUUAUUGGGCGUAAAGAGCUUGUAGGCGGUUUGUCGCGUCUGCUGUGAAAUUUCGGGGCUCAACCCCGAACUUGCAGUGGGUACGGGCAGACUAGAGUGUGGCAGGGGAGACUGGAAUUCCUGGUGUAGCGGUGAAAUGCGUAGAUAUCUGGAGGAACACCGGUGGCGAAGGCGGCAUCCUGGACCGGUAUUGACGCUGAGGAGCGAAAGCCAGGGGAGCAAACGGG
rnacentral:rRNA from 1 species